AAGACAAAUAAAAACAGAUAAAAUAAUAAAUAAAUAUACACCUCAUCAUCAUUAUUAAAGUGUUAAAGUGUUGAUGCUAAAAUAAGUAUUAAAAUAAAAUGUAUAAAAAAUGUUAAAACAUGUAUAUGUGAGUUAUAAUUCUCUGAUUGGGUGUCAGGCUGUCAGCAGUCUUAAGUCAGCAAAUGAGAGCGCUGGAUGCUCAUCUCCGCCCCCUUGUGGUUGUGGAUAUUACAAAAGCAUCGGAAGAGACACACAGCGUGACAGAAAGGAAAACCGAGUGAUUAUAAAGUAAAUAUAGCGAAAAUACAUUAGUUAAAACUUUUAAAACCAAUAUAAUGUUAAAAAUAUAAGUCUAUAGCACGAGGAUGGCGAGGGAUUGAGUAGAUAUAUGCUGAUUUGAGCGCGAUGGAUGCAUUUUGACUCGGUGAGUUCAUCAUUAGCUUAUUGCUAAAAUAAUAGAAACAUAUUGAGUGACAACAUGUUAAAUGUGAUAAUAUUUUAUUAGUUUCAUGUUUAAGAAGUGAUAGAAAGUUGUAUCUUUCUGUUUAAUGGAAGAAUUAUCCAUUAUCACAAGGUUAUAAAACCGCAUGGUGUUUUAUUAUUUACUACAGCUCACAGACAUCACUGUGGUCACGUGUACCUGAUAGGAAUUAAAAAAAGAAUACAUUAGAAGAACAGGCCAGGUUUUUUUUGUUGCUGGAUUUUGGAAUUCUUGCGAUUCUCGGUUGAUGGCGAGCCUCCUAAGUGCAGUUUCAGUGGACCUACAGGAAAGGACUGAUUUCUAGGGAAAAAGGACACUUGCUUUUUCUACUAUUUCUCUUCACUCAAGUAAGAGGAUUUGAUCCUUAAGACUGUUUCUCUUUUUUUUCCAAGAGGAGGACAUUUUGUGAGUACCCAAAAGACAGUUGAAAGUAAAUAAUUCAUUUAUUUUAUUUUGAUCUUCCUGGAUUUGAAACUUGAUAUAUUUGGAAAAAUUUUAUUUGGUUACAUGUAACAAAACAAUUUGGAAAUUGCUGAUUUAUUUGAACUCUCAUCUAUUUGUUAAAUUGUGAAUUUAACAAAAUUUACAGCGUCAUAUAAAGGGUGCACCCGGGGUAUAUUUUUAAUUAGUGUUUAUUUUAUUGUUAUUUCUUUUGUGUGUGUAUAUAAUACAGAACAACGUUGUGCAACUUA